rnacentral:rRNA from 1 species
UCUGGAAAGGCGCGCGAUACAGGGUGACAGCCCCGUACACAAAAAUGCACAUGCUGUGAGCUCGAUGAGUAGGGCGGGACACGUGGUAUCCUGUCUGAAUAUGGGGGGACCAUCCUCCAAGGCUAAAUACUCCUGACUGACCGAUAGUGAACCAGUACCGUGAGGGAAAGGCGAAAAGAACCCCGGCGAGGGGAGUGAAAAAGAACCUGAAACCGUGUACGUACAAGCAGUGGGAGCACGCUUAGGCGUGUGACUGCGUACCUUUUGUAUAAUGGGUCAGCGACUUAUAUUCUGUAGCAAGGUUAACCGAAUAGGGGAGCCGAAGGGAAACCGAGUCUUAACUGGGCGUUAAGUUGCAGGGUAUAGACCCGAAACCCGGUGAUCUAGCCAUGGGCAGGUUGAAGGUUGGGUAACACUAACUGGAGGACCGAACCGACUAAUGUUGAAAAAUUAGCGGAUGACUUGUGGCUGGGGGUGAAAGGCCAAUCAAACCGGGAGAUAGCUGGUUCUCCCCGAAAGCUAUUUAGGUAGCGCCUCGUGAAUUCAUCUCCGGGGGUAGAGCACUGUUUCGGCAAGGGGGUCAUCCCGACUUACCAACCCGAUGCAAACUGCGAAUACCGGAGAAUGUUAUCACGGGAGACACACGGCGGGUGCUAACGUCCGUCGUGAAGAGGGAAACAACCCAGACCGCCAGCUAAGGUCCCAAAGUCAUGGUUAAGUGGGAAACGAUGUGGGAAGGCCCAGACAGCCAGGAUGUUGGCUUAGAAGCAGCCAUCAUUUAAAGAAAGCGUAAUAGCUCACUGGUCGAGUCGGCCUGCGCGGAAGAUGUAACGGGGCUAAACCAUGCACCGAAGCUGCGGCAGCGACACUGUGUGUUGUUGGGUAGGGGAGCGUUCUGUAAGCCUGUGAAGGUGUGCUGUGAGGCAUGCUGGAGGUAUCAGAAGUGCGAAUGCUGACAUAAGUAACGAUAAAGCGGGUGAAAAGCCCGCUCGCCGGAAGACCAAGGGUUCCUGUCCAACGUUAAUCGGGGCAGGGUGAGUCGACCCCUAAGGCGAGGCCGAAAGGCGUAGUCGAUGGGAAACAGGUUAAUAUUCCUGUACUUGGUGUUACUGCGAAGGGGGGACGGAGAAGGCUAUGUUGGCCGGGCGACGGUUGUCCCGGUUUAAGCGUGUAGGCUGGUUUUCCAGGCAAAUCCGGAAAAUCAAGGCUGAGGCGUGAUGACGAGGCACUACGGUGCUGAAGCAACAAAUGCCCUGCUUCCAGGAAAAGCCUCUAAGCAUCAGGUAACAUCAAAUCGUACCCCAAACCGACACAGGUGGUCAGGUAGAGAAUACCAAGGCGCUUGAGAGAACUCGGGUGAAGGAACUAGGCAAAAUGGUGCCGUAACUUCGGGAGAAGGCACGCUGAUAUGUAGGUGAAGUCCCUCGCGGAUGGAGCUGAAAUCAGUCGAAGAUACCAGCUGGCUGCAACUGUUUAUUAAAAACACAGCACUGUGCAAACACGAAAGUGGACGUAUACGGUGUGACGCCUGCCCGGUGCCGGAAGGUUAAUUGAUGGGGUCAGCGCAAGCGAAGCUCUUGAUCGAAGCCCCGGUAAACGGCGGCCGUAACUAUAACGGUCCUAAGGUAGCGAAAUUCCUUGUCGGGUAAGUUCCGACCUGCACGAAUGGCGUAAUGAUGGCCAGGCUGUCUCCACCCGAGACUCAGUGAAAUUGAACUCGCUGUGAAGAUGCAGUGUACCCGCGGCAAGACGGAAAGACCCCGUGAACCUUUACUAUAGCUUGACACUGAACAUUGAGCCUUGAUG